AUUGAACGCUGGCGGCAGGCCUAACACAUGCAAGUCGGACGGUAGCACAGAGGAGCUUGCUCCUCGGGUGACGAGUGGCGGACGGGUGAGUAAUGUCUGGGGAUCUGCCCGAUAGAGGGGGAUAACCACUGGAAACGGUGGCUAAUACCGCAUAACGUCGCAAGACCAAAGAGGGGGACCUUCGGGCCUCUCACUAUCGGAUGAACCCAGAUGGGAUUAGCUAGUAGUCGGGGUAAUGGCCCACCUAGGCGACGAUCCCUAGCUGGUCUGCGAGGAUGACCAGCCACACUGGAACGGAGCCACGGUCCAGACUCCUACGGGAGGCAGCAGUGGGGAAUAUUGCACAAUGGGCGCAAGCCUGAUGCAGCCAUGCCGCGUGUAUGAAGAAGGCCUUCGGGUUGUAAAGUACUUUCAGCGGGGAGGAAGGCGAUGUGGUUAAUAACCUUGUCGAUUGACGUUACCCGCAGAAGAAGCACCGGCUAACUCCGUGCCAGCCGCCGCGGUAA
rnacentral:rRNA from 1 species